CAUUCGUCAGUAUGGAAAUGUUCAACAGGUUCAGCUUUCAUGUUCACAAACAAUACACUUUCUUCACGCAGUACAACAAAUCUCUUCAAUUGUUAAUGACAGGAGAGCCAGCUGGGCUACGUUAAUAAGUAACUCUACAAGAAUUCAAGCACAAAAGCAGAAAAUAAAGUUCGCUUCAUAACUUCAGCGUCAACCUGAGCCAGCACAGCAACAUCGACAAGGAGUGUCUCCUUCACUUCAACCCGAGGUUUAGGUUCAACCCAAAGUGUACCGAUGGUUUGGUGGUCUUGAACGACAAGAAGAACUCAAAGUGGCAAACGGAAAAACGCUGGCUGAAUGUGCCUUUCAAUACGAACCAGCCAUUCGUGAUAGAGAUAAAAGUGACUAGAUCAACAUAUGAAAUCUCAGUGAAACAAAAAGAUGACAACUCACCUUUCUAUGCUUUCAAUCAUCGAGUUGACAUGCACGAAGCCAACUUUAUAUUUAUCAAUGGGGAUGUGUCAAUCAGUUGUAUACAGUAUGUCAACAGUGAUACGAGAAGUCCAGAAGCC